rnacentral:lncRNA from 1 species
CUACCCCGGCUGCAGGCAUACGCUCCAUUUUCCCCUCAGCCCCUCCCAGCGGCGGCUGCCGAGGAGACCCCGGGGUUUCCCUAGCAACAGGUGGGAGCUGCGCGGCGCCGGGGCUUCCCCAGCGGAGCUCACCGCACGCCGGCGGCGGGGCCGGGGCUGCCCAGUCGGGCAAGGCCGCGGCGUGCGGCCUCCUCCGCCCUACGGGGCACGCUGGGCGAGGAGCUGCCCCCGGCCCGCAGCGGGAAGAUUUGUGCCUGAAGAUUGAAAAGCUGUGUCCUUUGCACUUUGCAGGUAACAUGAACACACAAUGUAAUCAUAGUGCCAUUGCAGUCAGUUGUAAAAGCAAACUUAUUUGGACAAGAGAUUUCAGCAGUACUGUUAUCUGAAAGGGAAUUACAUUCUUAGUCUGUUUUUUCUUUAUUUGUUAAUGUUCUGAAGCCAUCUUGCAGAUUCUUUUACCUUACCUUCUCGUAUAGUAUAGCCACUGAAUAAGACCUUGUUUCCUCUUUAAUCAUGAACUACCUCCCACUGCACCAAGAAGAAACUUCUUGUUUUCCAGCUAACUACCAACCUACCUGGGGGAAGAACUUCAAAAAGUUAAAAUUUUGAAUCUCCUUCCUUGCAGCAUCGUUACAAGAAGAGGGACUUUUUCAGUUACUCUGUUCAUUACUAAGAUGGGUAGGAGUGAGCAUGACAGAAACCUUAAUCAACAAACAAGCAACUUGGGACUGAGAACAGUCAGUUGCACAAAAAAGCAAGAAAAUAAUAGUAUCCAUGUGCCAGCUCUGCCUUUUACCUCUGUCUGUUUCUGUCCUUUCUAGUUCUACUGGUUAUAGAAGGCACUCCUUUGAGCAUGCAGAGGUGACAGUUGAUUGUUUCAAACUGAAGUUAUGGAAACCCAUUUGAUUUUAUGUUUUAAUUAUGAAGGCACAUCUAAUUUUAAAGCUACUUCUAUUGCUCAUGCAUUUCUACUUGCUUAUUAUCUUCCUAGCUUCACAAUAAUACAUUUGAUUGGAUGGUGUCAUCAUUCUGUCCAGAUGUGCAUGUGGCAACUUUUUAUCUAUGUGUGAUAAUCCGUAAAUGAAUAGAGAAGUAUCCAAGGUUGGGAAAUUCUCCUACAUAGACCAUUUUCACUAGGCUUCAGUUUUUCCUUAGAAAUCUAGUGGGACACCAAGAGCAUUUUGCAUAUACUCACAUAAUCUAGCUCCUUCUGAAAUAGUUUUAAAGGACUGGGUUGUCUUUCCAAUAAUUUCUUUGCUCUAUUACUCUUUACUUGUAUGCUUUGGCCAUUCAUGAGUAGUACUGAAAAACAGCGAACCUAGUUUUCUAAUAUUUAGCUCAGAAAACUCAAAGAAAUGAUUGGUUAAUUUUUUAAAAUAAUUUUGUUUUGUUUUGCCAAAUUCUCCUUUUAGCAUGCAAUGGUUAAGCUUCGUAAUGUCAAAAUCAGAACUGGGAGCAAGUUGCCAUUUGUAUGAUGACUUUUUAUAUUGUUGUGUCACUGGUGCAUGUGUGUCAUGCAUUUGAAUCAGACCAUCCCUUUUGGAGCACUCAGAGAAAUCAGACCAGUGUCUGAAGACCAGGGUUGCCCAUCCAGAGGCAGCAUGGUUUGUAAAGGUUGCCCACCCUGCACUGAUGGGUACAAACAUACUGUGCUGGGACCACACGACCCCCUUUUCACCAUAAACAGCAGCAGGUAGUUUAAGCUGCCUCAGAUUUGUUCACAGUGCAGACAAAAAAACAGACUGUAAAAGUAGCCACACCCCGAUGCAAGAACCUGGAAAAAGGUGUGUGACAAAUGACAGUACUGAUGCUUAUAAAAUAUAGGUUAAUAAACUAUAGGUUAGCACCUAUCCUAUGGCAGUGGUUAGUGCCUGUAUCUGUACUAACUGUUCCAUGGGGUGUAGAUCACAAGCCUUUAUUCCAUUCGCAUUUGGUUCUUACUGGAGCCUGUAAAGCUUCUCUUGACUUUAAGGGUGGGGAGAGGACAGUCUCAUCUCUCCCUGUUUCCAACCAAGCGCUUAUUUUUUUCUCCAUCAGUGCAAAAUCUCAGCUUGUUAGGAAAGUCUGUCUUGCAGCAGAGUGUCUGAAUGUACAAAUCUGCUCACAAUCACAGCUGGAGUGGCUUAUAGUGGAGACAGGUCGUGCUGGGAUCUUUCACUUUGGCACCAAUUAUAUUUUUCUAUGAAAGCACAAGAGAAAAUACGACUUCGCGAUUUAAAGUCAAUAGAAUCUGCAGAGCAUAGAGCAACUUGUCUUUUCAUAUGCUGCUCUUUGUAGAUACGAUAUGUUAAGAAAUUAAACUCAUGCCUAGCCCUGGGGCUUAGUUGCCUAUCUGUACUGUCAGAGUUGCCUAUCUGUACUGUCAGAUCUGUCCAACUAAGAGAAAAUCAUCUGAAAGUAAGGCCCAAGAAUAUUUUGAAGAAAGUGCUGUUGGGGUAAGCCCUGUCAAGACUUGGUUACGAUGAAACAAACCUCUUAGUAUGCGAUGCUUUAAAACAACAAAAUGGAAUAUACUUCAUGGGCUUUUAAAACUUUGCUGCUUAAGGUAAUUCAGAGAAUUUACUGGACCUCAGUGAGCUUUGGAAUAACGAGCCUUGUAACUUCCAAAAAGAGUGAGAAAUGGAAUAAUGCAGAACUACUACUGGAUUGAUGGUGCACUUGCUCAAGAAUUUUGCUGUUCAGGACCUAUGAUUUCUUAGAGCUUUAAUACCAUAUCCUGAAACUUUAAUUAUAAAAUAUAACAUUGGACUCAAGAGGGAUUCCGAACAGAUGAUCUGUCAAAAUUUUCACUAAGGGUUGUGCUGAAGCCUGGUUUAUUCAUUUCACUUCCUUUUGCCCAUGAGCCCAGGUAGAAUUUGACUGCUUUGACUGUGCUUUUGCUUUGAGUUAUUAGACUCAUACUAAACCUCAAGAAAACCUGAAACUGUAGUUGAAGCUCAAGACAAGAAAAGUACGGAAGUAAAAUGAGAUUUGAAAUAAAAGCUAAGCUUAUUUUUUUGCAUGAUCAGUGAUAUGCAAUGUUAUUCUAGAUCAUUCCUGUUACUGCUUAGUUUUCUGCAGUGACAUGUAAAAUCAUUAUAAUUUUUAAAAUAGUUUUGCUACUCAUUUGGCAACUACUUCCAGAUCAAGAAAAGAACUCCGACUGUUCAUCUGAAUCUUUCAGAGAACUUGGCCUUGUUUGCUUUUUACUGCUAGCAAAUGUUGCUUCAAGAGAAAGUACAAGCUGUGUCAUACGUAAUGGAGCAGUAUUUUGACUGGGUUAGAUUUUGGUGAAGAUUCUGAUGUUUUCUUCCACUGAAUAUGAAUGUGAAGUGUGAGCUCAUACAUGGUAUUUACACCACCUGAAGUCAGAAUUAGUGGGUAUUUGCACUAGAAGUGCAAUUGACAGAAUAGUGUAUGACUCAUUUGAUCAAUCACAGCUAGCCAAUGCCACUAAAGCAAUAAAUAUUGAACACUUCAUAGAAUAGCUCAUGAUGCAUCUGGAGAUAAUAAUCUCCCUCCUAGAUAAUUGUUUGGAUAAUUGUGUUGUACAAUGGUUUUGGAUAAUUAUCUGAGUAAUGAACAUAUUUAGAGGAACUGUGGUCUUCUCUUACAGUGUAAUGACUAUAAAAGUUACAAAUUAAUAUGAUAAUCUAUUGGCUUUGGUCAGUCAGUCAUUUAUUUCAAAUUACAGUGGAGCAAAAGAGUGAUGAUUCCCUUUUUGAAUUAAACUGCUUUAGCAAAUUUGGUGUGCAAACACUCGCAUUUGAACCCCUACUGCCCUGUUUUCUGUUUUCUUUACCUUUAAUUUUCCAUCCAGGGGCUUAAGGCAAAUGGGCAGUUUUGCUUUAUGGCUAAGUGGCAGCAUGAUCUCUGCAGUAAUAUCAGCAUUAUAGAGGCAUGUGCUCAGCAGAGGUCCAGACUCCUUGCUUUUUCUCUCCUUUGUGUGAGGAUUUUGCUUUUGCUGUAAUUGUUUUGGAAUUAGAUUGUGCUGUGGAAUGAGUCAUCUGCACAGACCACAGACCAUGGGCAUCUUUGCAGUUUCUUUUCUCAAACGAUAGCCUCACUGUUUGCCUCUUUUUUUAGCUUGUGCUGAGCGCUGCUGUGGGGUACAAGAGAUAGAGUGAGGUGACUGUAUGGUGCUGCCACCAGCUGCCCUGGGGGAGAGAGGAGGAGGGAAAAGCAGAAGCCCCUCUCCUGAGAGAAGUACUAAGGCACCCCUGGAGCUCUUCUCAGCCCAGUUUACUGAAUUAAAGUUAAAGUGACUGAAAGUCAGCUGAGUAAAAGAAAAAGAAAGAGAAAAAAAAAGAAAAGAAACCCAAGAAAAAGCCAUAGGCUUGACUUUGAAAAAGCCUUCUGAGUUCAGUCUAAAAUCUCUCUCUGCCAUGAAUAAAAAUUUAUGUGCAAAAACUAUGAAGGAAGGUAACUGGGCAAAUGUGCUGCUUUUGCACAGCUUAGGAACCAUGGUGUCUAUCUAAUUCUCCAAUUUACUGGUGGUGGGGAGAGUUCUCUGCGGUAGUUCAGCUGAAGUGGAUUCAUUUUCUGGCAUUACAAAGCCUGCUGAUGCAUGCUUUGUGCAGUUCAUGCUAAUCAACAUUGCAUGCUUCAUUUGAAAUAAAAAAGAAAAAAGAAAAAAAAAAAAGCUGUUCAUAAUCCACCAAGAAUACAACCCCGAACUUUUUCUGUUGCUUUUGAAGCUGUGUGCUCAUGCAAGGGGCAGGCGGAUGUGGGAGAGGGAGAUGCAGGCCUCAGCCAGGCCUGUUCCCUCCUGCCUUCUUGUUCUCCUUGAUUUGUCCAUCUCUAUGCCAUGCCAAAUCCAACAAGCUGUCUAUGGUUGACAGCUCUUAGCUGUGCAUUGCCUUUGCUCAGUAGAAGCCCCCCUUUCUUGGAGUGCCAGGAUCAGGAUGUGUCCCACUUGGGCUUGAGGCAGAGGGAGUGUGUCUGCUGCCCUCUCCCUUUCUGUGUGCCAGGGAUAAUACUCACCUGGUCUAAGGUGGUCAGCACUGGAAGAGGGGUAGCACUUCUGGCUGGUACCUUGCAUGAAAUACUGCUGCAGCACUGCUCUUCCCUCCUGCACUAUGCCUGUGUAAAAUUGUCAUGCUGCUGGACGUUGAGGCCAUGCCUUCUUGUCCUAUUGCUAUUCCCAGAUAACAGAAAUAGGACAAGAGAGAAUGGCAUCAGUUUGCAUCUAGGAAGGCUCAGGUUGGACAUUAGGAAAAACUCUGAAAGAGUGGUGAGGCAGUGGCACAGACUGCCCAGGGAGGUGGUGGAGACACUGUCCCUGGGGGUGUUCAAGAACUGUGUAGAUGUAGCACUGAGGGAUGCGGUUAGUGGGCAUGGUGGGGAUGUGUUGGCAGUUGGAAUAGGUGAUCGUAGAGGACUUUUCCAACCUUAAUGAUUCUUUAUCAUUUGUUGCCAAACAGAGUCAUGGGGAUCCCCUGUGUCUGGGCGUCCCAGUGACAUGCUGCUGUGCACUGCAAAGUUGUAGUGUGAGUUAGCAGGGUGUACACAUAGCCAGAGAUUUGACAUGUUUGGGUAGGAAGGUUUUCCUGGCAUAGUUUGAAAGCAAAGAAAAGGC